rnacentral:rRNA from 1 species
UACAGAGGUCUCAACCGUUGUUCGGAUUCAUUGGGCGUAAAGGGUGCGUAGGCGGUCGCGCAAGUCGGAUGUGAAAUCUCAGGGCUCAACCCUGAUACUGCAUUCGAUACUGCGUGGCUAGAGUGCUGGAGAGGAGACUGGAAUUUACGGUGUAGCAGUGAAAUGCGUAGAUAUCGUAAGGAAGACCAGUGGCGAAGGCGAGUCUCUGGACAGCAACUGACGCUGAGGCACGAAGGCCAGGGGAGCAAACGGG